rnacentral:lncRNA from 1 species
GGGCGACCUUCAGUACCAGCUGACACUCGCCGAUAUUAACACACUGUUUAAAACUUUCUGGGAUGCCCGUAUUUACCACUACGGAAUACUGACCGUCGCACACGUAACUACGGCCGCAGAUUUGACGUUGAUUCUUAAUGUGCUGCAGAGUCUGAAGCAAUUGGCAAUGCUGAAUGGUCAGACCAUCCCGAAAGCCCUCACAGUGCUUGGCCUGACCGUGUUUUCUGACCGUGACUUUGACCAAGCCGCAGCAACUAUCACGCACGCAGAAAAGCCGGAUAUCAUUAUAUCGUAUGGACACUUGAUCUUUGAGCGGCACCCGUAUGAACACUGCAGGAUACUUGGUCCCACAAACAUGAAACUGGGCCAGUCACCACCGGACUAUGCCU